rnacentral:rRNA from 1 species
UACGAACUGUGCGAACGUUAUUCGGAAUCACUGGGCUUACAGGGUGCGUAGGCGGCUUAGCAAGUCAGGUGUGAAAGCCCCCGGCUCAACCGGGGAACUGCGCUUGAAACUGCUGAGCUCGAGUCAGCUAGAGGUACACGGAACUUCCAGUGGAGCGGUGAAAUGUGUUGAUAUUGGAAGGAACACCGGAGGCGAAAGCGGUGUACUGGGGCUGGUCUGACGCUGAGGCACGAAAGCCAGGGGAGCGAACCGGGAGUUA